rnacentral:tRNA from 1 species
GGAGCUGUAGCUCAGUGGCAGAGCACUUGUCUAGUGCACAUGAGGCACUGGGUUGGAUCCUCAGCACUUCA